rnacentral:tRNA from 1 species
GGGGUCUUAGCUCAGCUGGGAGAGCAUCUGCCUUACAAGCAGAGGGGCACAGGUUCGAGCCCUGUAGGCCCCA